CCUGCAACAGCGAACGCCAACAUCUGCGUGGAGAAAGGCUGCAAACUAGAGCUUCCUGUGGCCGAAAGGCGAGCCCAGAGCCGGGGCCUAACAACAGCAGGGGGUUAGAUCUGAGGGACUGGGGCUACCCCCGACCACAGUCAAGACCCCCCUCGGGGGCCAUCCCCCUCGGGUCAUUAUCCCAGGGUCUGCCAGCAAAGGUGCCCGGAUCUGGACCAGGCUCUGCAGGUGCUCACAGAAAAGGUCCUGAGGAUGUACCGACUGAAAGCCUCAGCCAGGGAACCACUGACCGUCCAUUUCUGCAGAAUGAGCUGAACCCAAGUAAGACGUUUCCAUAGGCCCAUGAAUGGGCAAGGAACCGUUGAGAAAUAGAUUUGUGCUACUUGUAGAAUUAAAAAAGGAAAGGCCUAUGCCCAGCUCCAACAUAGUGAUCUGGGGGUAAGCAGUGCUUACCAUGGGUCCUCACACUAGACAAUGCACAUGCUUCUAGCAAAACGGAGGAGGGGGAGGGAAGGGGGGAGACCCAAGACCGACAAACCCAUGCCCAGAGCACUCAGGUGGCUGGGCACAGACCUGAGCAGCAAGCGGACCUCCGUCUUGCGGGACAAGCAGUUAUUCUCAGCACGGUUCUGACUUUCUCUCUCCUCUCCUCCUAGAACCUGACACCACGAGACAGCAGCCCCUGCACAUGACCUGACUCUGACCACAAAGACUUGGCCCUGGGACCCACAGGAGCUCGGGCCUCGAUUUACCUGCUCCUCCUGCCACACACUCAGGGCCGGCGCUGCUGGCAGUGCUGACCAGCCUUCUGCCGGCCAUCGUGUUCGUCCCAUGGGUGAGGUGGAUGCCGGCCGGCCGGCCGAGAACACUCCCAGCCCCGGCAGCAGGGCCCCGGACAACCAGGACUCCACUGCGGCUCCUCACUGCUCAGCCUUCCCUGCUCCACUCCCUCCCAGCGGAAGCACAUUUGCUGCCCCUGCCAUGCCCUCGCUGGGACCCGUUCUCAGAGCCUUGUCUGGGGUCCCGAUCCAUUUUCACUGUCUGCCUGCUUGGCCCCAGGCCCACUUGGGGUACGCGUGUGUGCAGCUGCUGGCAGGAGUGCCCAGUCUGGGGUGUCAGGGCAGAAGUGCACUGCCCUGUGCCCGUCUGCAUGAAGGUGCCCUAAGGGCAGGCCUGUCUCGUCACAACACACCCCAUGUUCAAGAACAUUCUAGAAGUAUCUGACAAACAGGAGGAACUCAGUACAUGUUUCUUGAAGGAACAAAUGAAUGAAACUGUGCUUGUCAGUUAUGUUAACUGAACAUUGAGGAUAUGAGAAGACUUAGACUUUAAGAUAAUGCAGAAAAUCUUACAGCGUUUUGAAAGGCAGAUCCCCUACCCCCUUUUAAAGAUUGUAUUUCUUUGAGAGUGCGCAUGCUUGCACAUGGUGGUGGGGAGGGCAGGGCAGAGGGAGAAGCAGACUCCCCACUGAGCAGGCAGCCUGACCCAGCUUGGUCCCAGGAGCUCAAGAUCAUGACCCGAGCUGAAAUAGAGUCCAAUGUCUCAUUGACUGAGCCCCCCACGGCACCCCAUGGCAGAUGCCUUUCAACACUUACCUUUCCGUAGCCGAAAGAAAGUCAAGCUCGGGUUGAAUUUCUAGCUCCAGCUGUAACCAGUCCCUGUAAGUCAACUGAGAGCAAAGGACAACAUGAGCACCACAGUGCGGACGGGAUGCGGAAGCCGCGAGCCGGCAUGGUGACACUCUGCCGUCCCCGAGGCAGGACUGGGAGCCUCCGCUGGUCUCUGUCCUCUUGCCGUUCCUGGCGGUCAGCCUGAGGCUCUGACCCUGAGCCCUGGAUGAAGAGCUCAGAUAUUGCUUCAUCUACCUCUGAACAGGAGGCUCAUGACAGCCGCUCACACUCGUACUCUGAGAUGGAAUUCUCCAGCACACUGCCUGGUUUUGAACAGUUAACCGCACUCAGUUCCUGCACACCACUACCGCCACGACCGCGUUGUGAGUGAGGCGAAGUCACCACAGCACAACCUGAUGUCGUGACGCGCUGUGAACACUCCCGGUAGCACAGGUGUCACUCUGAAAUUCUUGCAACGAUCCCGCGCAUGAACGUGGACUAAUCUCAAAACCUCACACUGCGUGUCAAAGUGCACCCUCCAGGGGUGCCUGGGGGGGGCUCAGUGGGUGAAAGCCUCUGGCUUCAGCUCAGGUCAUGGUCCCAGCGUCCUGGGAUCGAGCCCCGCAUCGGGCUCUCUGCUCAGCAGGGAGCCUGCUUCCCCCCCUCUCUCUGCCUGUCUCUCUGCCUGCUUGUGAUCUCUGUC